GGAAUAUUGGUCAAUGGAAGCAAGUCUGAACCAGCCAUGCCGCGUGCAGGAAGACGGCUUUCUGGGUUGUAAACUGCUUUUGUCAGGGGAUAAAAUUUCCUUGCGAGGAAAAUUGAAGGUACCUGGCGAAUAAGCCACGGCUAACUAAGUGCCCGAAGCCGCGGUAAUACGUAGGUGGCAAGCGUUGUCCGGAUUUAUUGGGUUUAAAGGGUGCGUAGGCGGCCUAUUAAGUCAGUGCUGAAAUAUUCCGGCUCAACCGGGAGGGUGGCAUUGAUACUGAUGGGCUAGAGUACAGAUGAGGUAGGCGGAAUUGACGGUGUAGCGGUGAAAUGCUUAGAUAUCGUCAAGAACACCUAUAGCGAAGGCAGCUUACUAGGCUGUAACUGACGCUGAGGCACGAAAGUGUGGGGAUCAAAC
rnacentral:rRNA from 1 species